UAAAUAAAAAUAGUUUAUACUGGAUCAGUUGAUCCGUAUGCGUUACACGGAUCAUAUAACGCAUACGGAUCAUAUGAUAUGUAUGAAACCACACCUGACGAAACUCCAAUAGCAGCCAUUAAUGGAGACCAGGAAGCUUACCUCGACUAUGGAAGAACAAAAUGAAGCCGCAGGUCCUCAAUGCUGUUAAGGGAAGCAGCCAAUAGCAGCGCCGCCAAAGAAGAACCAGCAAGAAGACGAAGGCGCAGGGGCGUGGUCGCGAAUGAAGAAGACGAACACGCAAGGAGGGAGAGCGAAAGCAGCGUACGGAAGGUGAACAGUAACACUGCAUAGGUAGGGUAUUUUAAAUUUAAGUGAAAGACAUUUUUGUCACUUCACUUAAAUUGCUGGGUGCACCUAGCAGCACCCAACUUGGUUUGUGGCAUUGUGAUUUUGGGCCUACACAUGGUACUCUAAAUAAUUCUCAUUUCUGCUUGAAGUUAUCUAGGACACUAAUGCAUUGCAUGCUGUUGUUUUCAGGCUACUAGCAUUUUCUUUAGCUUCUAGCACCUUUGUUGUCGCUGCAACAAAAUCUGAUUAAGCAUCGGGUAAAGGAUCAACUCGGUUAGCCAUUAUGCCUGUUUAUAAAAGAAAUAAAUAUGGGAUUACUUGUGGUAACCGAUAUUGAGGAUAAUUGAAGAUUUCUGAACUUCUAUGCAAACUCUCGCUCACCAUAAAUUACAGACCGGAUACAGAGCAGAACACAUAAAACCCUUAAUUUUUAUUUAGAAGUAUGGAGCAAGUAAAGGCGAACAAGAGAUCAAACUCAAAAUUGGUAUUAUGGGCCUGAAUAUAAUUCACAUUCGGAAAAAUAUAUGAAUGAUUAAUUAAGUCCAAUGCUACAUGCUUAAUUUCCUUAAACAAGUCUCACGUUUGAAUUGUUUAUAAAAUCGAAAACCAUAUUCAAGUAUGAUUACUGUUUACAAGGUAAGAUGGAUACCUCUAGUCUGGACCAACAAUCUAAAGUUUUUGCCAAAACCACUUGCUCCAAAUACAGCAAAAUUAUAUAAUACAAAAUAUGCUAUGCAUCUUCUGAUUUGCAAGGCAAUAAGUUACGGUUGAACACAGCCAAGAAAUUUAGGUAUUCAACUUCUUUCUGGUGUAAACAAAACAUAUAAAUCGUUAACAUAAAGAUCUUCUGUUCAAUAAUUAUACGCCUUAUGACAAUGUCAAUUACCCUACUUGAUGCGUUCAACAUUUACUUACUAUGUCAUUUUACACUAUUUGUUAACCAGGCAAAUCUAGAAACUAAGGGGGGAAGGGAGAAAUUAUUCUUGUACACCAUAAGCAUAAAAGCAGUGAGGACAACUAAAUGAUAGCUCAUGUAGAGAUGAACCAGUGACAAAUAUGACACAAAACAACACACUUGAUUUAGUCACCAAAAUCACUUGAUCAGCCUCCAAACAAUUAACUGAAUUGAAGAUGCUGAUAUAGAAAUUGCCAAAACAGAAGAUACUACCAGCCCCAACUCAGCAAUAAAUGGAGACUUAUUGGCUGAGUGCUGUACCUCACCACAACACGGCCUGGCAUUACAAUUGCAACUCAUAAGCUCAGCCAAUUCUUAUCAUACCCUACUCAAGUUCAUUUUCAUACGGCUUGCAGGGUUCUACAUUAUCUCAAGAUCUGUCCAGGACGGAGUCUCUCUUUUGUCAGAAUUUCUCAUUACAAUUACGUGGUUUUAGUGAUGCAGAUUACUUGAGCAAACUUUCAAAGAACCAGAAGGGAAGUGGAGUUUGAACUGAGCUUGCUGCAUAAUAUAAUGAGCUUACAAGAUUCCAAACAAAAAACUUUCGAAAAAAAGACAUCAAAUUAGUUUGGGUAGCAUUUGUACAACAACAUUUCAAUUAUGUUUAGUUCUUUUAAUCCGUCUGAGUAAGACACAACUAAGAGAAGUUGUUACUGAUUUCAAUUACUGCUUUUACAAAUUACAAGUACUACCUCUCGGAUAGAUUGAAAAGUAUUUUUUUUCCUUUGUUAUUUUAAUAUUCAAACCUUGAAUCUGCAACAUGAUUUUACACAAGACUUGGCACAAAAAUGUGAAACCCUUAAACAGAGCAAUUGAUCGAAAGUCCCUGUGAAGCAUAUGUGCAGCCACUGCAUCAACUUAUAGUGUUGCAGUUCACUUAUAGUUAUUGCC